GAGCGAACAGGAUUAGAUACCCUGGUAGUNCACGCCGUAAACGAUGAGUGCUAGGUGUUAGGCCCUUUCCGGGGCUUAGUGCCGCAGCUAACGCAUUAAGCACUCCGCCUGGGGAGUACGACCGCAAGGUUGAAACUCAAAGGAAUUGACGGGGGCCCGCACAAGCGGUGGAGCAUGUGGUUUAAUUCGAAGCAACGCGAAGAACCUUACCAGGUCUUGACAUCCCGAUGCCCGCUCUAGAGAUAGAGUUUUACUUCGGUACAUCGGUGACAGGUGGUGCAUGGUUGUCGUCAGCUCGCGUCGUGAGAUGUUGGGUUAAGUCCCGCAACGAGCGCAACCCUUAUUGUUAGUUGCCAUCAUUCAGUUGGGCACUCUAGCGAGACUGCCGGUAAUAAACCGGAGGAAGGUGGGGAUGACGUCAAAUCAUCAUGCCCCUUAUGACCUGGGCUACACACGUGCUACAAUGGCUGGUACAACGAGUCGCAAGUCGGUGACGGCAAGCUAAUCUCUUAAAGCCAGUCUCAGUUCGGAUUGUAGGCUGCAACUCGCCUACAUGAAGUCGGAAUCGCUAGUAAUCGCGGAUCAGCACGCCGCGGUGAAUACGUUCCCGGGCCUUGUACA
rnacentral:rRNA from 1 species